AGAGUUUGAUGGUGGCUCAGGAUGAACGCUGGCGGCGUGCCUAACACAUGCAAGUCGAGCGAAGCACUUUGCUUAGAUUCUUCGGAUGAAGAGGAUUGUGACUGAGCGGCGGACGGGUGAGUAACGCGUGGGUAACCUGCCUCAUACAGGGGGAUAACAGUUAGAAAUGACUGCUAAUACCGCAUAAGACCACAGCACCGCAUGGUGCGGGGGUAAAAACUCCGGUGGUAUGAGAUGGACCCGCGUCUGAUUAGCUAGUUGGUAAGGUAACGGCUUACCAAGGCGACGAUCAGUAGCCGACCUGAGAGGGUGACCGGCCACAUUGGGACUGAGACACGGCCCAAACUCCUACGGGAGGCAGCAGUGGGGAAUAUUGCACAAUGGGGGAAACCCUGAUGCAGCGACGCCGCGUGAGCGAAGAAGUAUUUCGGUAUGUAAAGCUCUAUCAGCAGGGAAGAAAAUGACGGUACCUGACUAAGAAGCACCGGCUAAAUACGUGCCAGCAGCCGCGGUAAUACGUAUGGUGCAAGCGUUAUCCGGAUUUACUGGGUGUAAAGGGAGCGUA
rnacentral:rRNA from 1 species